UGGGCAGGGAUUGUGUGUAUUCAUGUCGUACGGCAAUUAUUGCAUUCUUCCAAGAGAACUCCAUGCAACAUAAAGUUGGGAAAGAUGCGCAGUUGUGUUUCAUCUUUAUGGUUGAAAAUAGCAGCAAUCAGCUGCUCUACAUUU